CCAAUGAUUGGGGAGACUUUUAAGCUUGAUUAGGAUUCCUAAUCCUAAUCUAAGAGGUAUAUAAGGCCUUUAAAAAGGCCUGUAUACAUGAAACAGUGGCCGUGUGGUCUUUGGGCUUGGUUUUUCACGGGAGAGGACCCGUGAUCUCAUGUGGAGGUGCAGCGGAGACUAAUCUCAUGAAGAGAGAGGUGCGAGGAUGCUGAGAGAAGGAGU
rnacentral:lncRNA from 1 species